GAGGGUACAGCUCAGUAGUAGAGUAUGUGUUUAUCAUGCAUGAGGUCCUGGGUUCAAUCUCCAGUACCGCCA
rfam:Camelus ferus unplaced genomic scaffold scaffold87, whole genome shotgun sequence.